CUCUCCCCUCUCUUCUCUUCCCUUUUUUUCCUUUCCCCCUCUCUUCUUUUUCUUUUUUUUUUUUCCCUUCUUCCUUUUCUCUUUUAUUUAUAUUGCUGUUACUGGUCUGCCAUGUUUGGGUGGAAUCUGUGUGGCAUUAAGUUGUCGUGCAGGGGAUGCCCAUCGUUUACUGUGAAAAAAUUAGAGUGUUCAAAGCAGGCUUAUGCCUCUGAAUAUAUUAGCAUGGAAUAAUGAUAUAGGACCUUGGUACUAUUUUGUUGGUUUGCGCACUGAGGUAAUGAUUAAGAGGGACAGUUGGGGGUAUUUGUAUUCCAUUGUCAGAGGUGAAAUUCUUGGAUUUUUGGAAGACAAACUACUGCGAAAGCAUUUACCAAGGAUGUUUUCA
rnacentral:rRNA from 1 species